rnacentral:tRNA from 1 species
GAGAAGUUAGUUUAUGUAGAACGUAAAUUUUGUAAAUUUAAAGACCUAGACUUCUCU